rnacentral:rRNA from 1 species
GCCCAGCACCGAAUCCCGCGGAGCGUUUCGGCGUUUCGUACGAGGGAAAUGUGGUGUUUGGGAGGGUUCGUUAUCCUGUCAGACGGCACGGCGAUCCAAGUCCCCCUUGAACGGGGCCACGACCCAUAGAGGGUGCCAGGCCCGUAGUGAUCGCCGACGUUUGAUGGGAGAACCGCUCCUAAGAGUCGGGUUGCUUGAGAGUGCAGCCCUAAGCGGGUGGUAAACUCCAUCUAAGGCUAAAUACGACCACGAGACCGAUAGCGGACAAGUACCGUGAGGGAAAGUUGAAAAGAACUUUGAAGAGAGAGUUAAACAGUACGUGAAACCGUUCGGGGGUAAACGGACAGAGCCCGUGAAUCCGGGCGGCAGAAUUCAGAGACGAUGGCGGCAACGUUGUCGGUUCGAUAUUUCUGUCGCCGGCACGGACGUCGCGACCCGUUUGGUGUCGGUCUCAGGAGACGCGUUUCACGUUCGUCGACGCGUCGUCUGCCUCGGUAGGCGCGCGUUGCGAGUACGCGUUCGUGUUCCGGCCGACUCGCCAGACGGUAGGUUAAUGGUGGCCGCGGCGGUCGUUCGCUUCGCGGCGAUCAGCGCCGUCCGCGGUGCCGGUUUGCGACGAAUCUUCGGGCCUCUUUCCGACCCGUCUUGAAACACGGACCAAGGAGUCUAACGUGCGCGCGAGUCGCGGGGUGUCGAGCGGCGGUCGUGUUUCGGCACGACCGUCGUUCGUUACGACGCGAAACCCGUACCGUUCAUUCGGAAGGCGCAAUGAAAGUGAAAUGGGGAAGAUGGCGUUACCGAGUUCACGUUUCGCGACUCGAUCGCGACCGGUCGCCCGCAUUCCCAGGGCGUCCCAACGGCUCGGCGGCGUUGCGGAUCGUCGUUCCUUCGGGAACGGCGGUCGGGCGUCGUCGGUCCGGGGCGCACCUACAGCGUGCACGUUGGUACCCGAAAGAUGGUGAACUAUGCCCGGCCAGGAUGAAGUCAGGGGAAACCCUGAUGGAGGUCCGCAGCGAUUCUGACGUGCAAAUCGAUCGUCUGAGCUGGGUAUAGGGGCGAAAGACUAAUCGAACCAUCUAGUAGCUGGUUCCCUCCGAAGUUUCCCUCAGGAUAGCUGGCGUCGGAAACGAAUCGACGAGCCUUUCGGGGCUCGCUCGUAGGGUCGUCUCAUCCGGUAAAGCGAAUGAUUAGAGGCAUUGGGGCCGAAACGACCUCAACCUAUUCUCAAACUAUAAACGGGCGAGAUCGUAGGCUUUCCUGAUUAGUAGCGAGAGAGUCGAGGCGGGUCCGUUCGCGCGGACUCGUUUCGGCGCGAAGCCUACGACGGAACCCUUGACGCUCAGUGGGCCAUUUUUGGUAAGCAGAACUGGCGCUGCGGGAUGAACCGAACGCCGAGUUAAGGCGCCGAAAUCGACGCGAAUUUCAGAGCCCAUGAAAGGCGUUGGUCGCUGAUGACAGCAGGACGGUGGCCAUGGAAGUCGGAAUCCGCUAAGGAGUGUGUAACUACUCACCUGCCGAAGCAACUAGCUCUGAAAAUGGAUGGCGCUGGAGCGUCGUGCCUAUACUCGGCCGUCAGUGGCAGCGUGGGCUUCGUCGCUCGUCGACGAAGACUCGGUACGCCCUGACGAGUAGGAGGGCGCGGCGGUGCGCGCAGAAGGGGAGGGCGUGAGCCUGCCUGGAGCCGCCGUCGGUGCAGAUCUUGGUGGUAGUAGCAAAUACUCGAGAGGGGGCCUCGGGGGCUGCCGUGGAGAAGGGUUUCUUGUGAACAGCCGUUGUCCAAGAGUCAGUCGAUCCUAAGCCCAGGGAGAAAUCCUCUACACAACGACGAUGACGAGAAGAAUACGCCGCCGCCGCCGCGUCGCGUGCGCGUAUGCGUAUAUGCGCCCGCUUGCGACACGAUUACCGCGUAUUCACGGUGCGAAGGCGCGCGCCCGUUCGACGGCGACGACCAGAGCCCAAUCGAGAUUUUUCGAUUAGAAAACGUACUCUGCGUAGUACGGGUUUUGCGUUUGUCUUCCGUCGUGCGUUUAUUGCGCGCGCGCCGAUAAUUUUUUUCGAAUCGAAGCGCCGUGUAUGUACGUGUGUCUGCGAGCGAGUGUUGUUGUUACGCUGCGCGUUGCGUGCGUGUGUGUGUGCGCGCGUAAAUUUCGACUCGAUCGUGUUUUGGGGCGAAAGGGAAUCCGGUCCGUAUUCCGGAACCCGGCGCGGAACCGCUCCCUAGUGUUCGGGGCCCUUAAACGCGCAACGUUACCGUUCGCGCGGUGCGUUGUCGUGUGCCUCGUCCGGGUAACCGGAAUGAACCUGGAGAAGCCGCCGGGGGGUCCGGGAAGAGUUCUCUUUUCUCUGUGAGCGUUGUACGUCCCUGGAAUCCGCUAGCCGGGAGAUAGGGACGCGAGCGCGAAGAGCACCGCUCGCUGCGGCGGUGUCCGUGAUCCCCACGCGGACCUUGAAAAUCCAGGAGAGGGCCACGCGGAGUCUUCGCGCCGGUUCGUACCGAUAU